UGUAUUAUUAUCUUAAAUAUUAUCAGGCAAAAGUGCCUUUUCAGAGAAGCAGCAUGCUCUGGAUCUGAACAGUCAUCCAACCCUAAGUUUUGUUUAUAAGGAUCCCUGGAGGAAGGUGAAGAAGCAAGCGAAGGACUACAUGUAUGGAUUGUCUCCAUAGGCAUGAGCUGUACUCAUUUCCAGGCAUGAGGGUCUGUCUGAGUAGCAAUGUAACCCUGAGGGACCCAGGCCUCUGCUCUUUCCUUCCAAGGUAGGCUUCAUUAAUAAGAAAUGCUGUUCAGGGGUUAGGCCUUAGGAAGUGACCUGGGACACACGUAAGGAUGAAGAUGACAGACCAAACAACUCUCAGAAAGACUCUGAAAUGAAGAAAAGCCACAGAAAGAAAAGAUGGGGCUUCACCUCAAGAGAGCACAGCUUAUCAAGAAAGAGAGCAAGGAACAGUUCACAGGUGCAGAAAUUGAAGAAGAUCUGGAAAAAGUAGUUAAAAUCGCCAUGCUGCGCAACAAACAAAACAGACGUGAGGUGACAUUUGUCUGAGGAACUUUGUGCCCUACUUCCUCCAGCAAAUAUGCCACACAUCAUUUAAAUAAACUUUUUGAAUGUUUAAAA